AGCUUUGCGCAGUGGCAGUAUCGUAGCCUAUGAGGUUUAUCCGAGGCGCGAUUAUUGCUAGUUGAAAACUUUACCCAAUACCCCGCCUUGACGACUUGAAAUAUAGUCGGCAANNNNN
rnacentral:snRNA from 1 species